rnacentral:rRNA from 1 species
ACUCCUACGGGAGGCAGCAGUGGGGAAUAUUGCACAAUGGGGGAAACCCUGAUGCAGCCAUGCCGCGUGUGUGAAGAAGGCCUUCGGGUUGUAAAGCACUUUCAGUAGGGAGGAAGGUAGUGUAGUUAACACCUGCAUUAUUUGACGUUACCUACAGAAGAAGCACCGGCUAACUCCGUGCCAGCAGCCGCGGUAAUACGGAGGGUGCGAGCGUUAAUCGGAAUUACUGGGCGUAAAGCGCAUGCAGGCGGCCUGUUAAGUCAGAUGUGAAAGCCCGGGGCUUAACCUCGGAAUUGCAUUUGAAACUGGCAGGCUAGAGUCUUGGUAGAGGGGGGUAGAAUUUCAGGUGUAGCGGUGAAAUGCGUAGAGAUCUGAAGGAAUACCAGUGGCGAAGGCGGCCCCCUGGACAAAGACUGACGCUCAGAUGCGAAAGCGUGGGGAGCAAACAGGAUUAGAUACCCUGGUAGGAUAGCG